rnacentral:lncRNA from 1 species
CAGUCAGCAGCCACAUCCUGGGCAUGCGUUAAUGCUCUUCUGACGUCUUGGGGAGUUUCCUUUGUGUGUGUCUUGCUGGUGCGGGCCGUGGCCGGGGGCGCGGGCAGGUCGCUGUCCGCGCGGGCCCAGCGCAGCCGCCGCCACCUGCCUUCCAUCGCCUUCACCCUCCGCGCCUUCCCCAGUGGGACGGUAAUCGCAGCGAGCCUUGCCGGGUGGCCCUGGGGCGAGACCACCUCUACCAAGUGUGACUUAUGGCCUCGGGACCGUUAGCCACGUGGCAACGGGUCGGGCAGCACCCGAAGGGGACUCCGGUGUGCACGCCCCAGUGAAACAACUUACUCUCACGUUCCCAUUUUUAUCAAGGUGAAAUGAAUCACUCUCCUCAUCAAAUGCAGCUGUGUCCUGGUUGGGUUUUUAACCCCCCUAAGACAUAGGACCAAGUUUCCUUUCCUCUAAAAGGCUCAUUUAACAAGUUUCCUCUGGUUCAAUAUCUGGUGAAUGGAGCCACAACCCAAAAGUUCAAGGACCUUGGAGGUGGUGGUUGGUGGCGAGAGAGACUGACUCUGAGCUCAAAUCAUCCUGUUGUGAGCAAGCACUGAAAGACCUUAGUAAACAUCCUUGCCCCUGCUUCAGCUACUCCCCAGAGGUGACAGCCGAGACCGUAGACAAUAAGGAUGUAACACAGUUCGGGUUGGAACAGGAUCUGAAAUAAACAGCUCGAGGUGAAAGCAGACGGUGUUAAGUCCUACUUAGGAAUCCAGUUCCUGCUGAAAGAACCCUCUUCCCUGCUGUAAUGGCCUCAGCCGGCGACAUGUCCUUGAAGACUUGGCUGGGAUACCACUUCACUGAGACAAGGGACUGUCAGUCCUUCCACUAUCGUACAAUCCUCAUUAGCACUCACCGUCUAGAAAUGUACUUAUUUGCUUUUACAAUCUCUCUGCUUCUACCGGCCUUUGAGCUCUGGAGAGGAGCAGCCUCUUUCCUUACCGCCAUGUCCUUAAAGCCUAACACAGUGGCUGGUACACAAGGUACUCCAAUAAAGCCACGUGCUUCUCUGACGAGCAGUUUUUUAAAGCUGUUCUGGGAAGAGACACACAAGGAACAAGGAGGAACCCCACAUCCUUGGGAAUCUUUGCGCAUCAUCUUUGGAGCCAAGAAGGCUAAUGCUUAGAAAGGAAGGAGCAUUUGGGGGCCCAACACACUUGUGUACUGUUACCUUUCCAAGGUGAAGAACAUCAAUGACCAUCUGUUUCUGCUGAAGUGGUCAAUUGGUCAUGAACCUCCUGUUCCAGAUCGUUACUGUGUCCUUCAUGAUGGCAGCUGAGCUUCCAGCAGCCAAGGAAGAGAAAGUUAACAAUCGCUGCUUUCUUUAAAGGUUGAAAAAAAAGCUUCCCUCCCAUGGUGUGAACAGAGCCAUGGUACUUUAUCUAUUUAGGCUGGAUGAAGGGAUGAAGAGUCCCCUGACACAGAAAAGAGAAGGUGUUAGAUAAUACCAUUUUGCUCCAAUUUAUGAAAAUGAGGGAUCUAGUGGCACAGAUGCUAAAUUCUACCCAGUAAGAGCUGGCGUGAAAUUUUUUCCUGCAAAGACCAUAAAGAAACAGAGUAUUUCCUAAAUUGAAGAAGGGUUAUCUACUGGGGCACGUUUUUAAUACUAAGUCUGCUUUGUUUGGAAAGCAGAUUCAUUUCAGAAUGUUUACAUAUUUUCACUUAUUUAAUGCUACUUCUAAUAUUUGCUUCACAAGUCCCAGGAUGGUAGCACCCAUCCAGAAAUCACUUCUGUAUAAACUUGGCUCUUCGUUUAUACCUUUAUUUCUUAAAACUUCUCCUCCUCCUCCUCCUCCUCCUCCUUCUUCUUCUUAUUUGCUGAAAGGAAACCGAGCAUCUUGAAAGAUAGGCUGAUUCCAGGCUUGUGGCAGGAAAUUAAGAGGAGUGUGGGACAUCUUGCUGUGCUGGAAAACAAGGAAGCUAUUAAGAACUAACGCCAGGUCAGAAAGACACAGGAACGACCCAGGGCAAGAUACUGGCAAAGGAAUGAGAAAAAAAGAAGAAAGAGAGAGACGGAGCAACUAUGGCAAAAUCUCGACAACUGUUUAAUCUGGGUGACACAUGCAUGGGGGUUUGCUUUAUUAUUUCUUGUUUUUGUUUGAAUUUUUUCAUUUUUAAACUAAACACAUAAUUUAAACCUUCUUUACUGCAAAGCAACCCCUAUGCAUUCUCUAUAGAGUCAGACAACACAAAUGAAUAAAAUAAAAAGCACUGAUAAUUCUAUCA